rnacentral:rRNA from 1 species
UACGAAGGGGGCUAGCGUUGUUCGGAAUUACUGGGCGUAAAGCGCACGUAGGCGGAUAUUUAAGUCAGGGGUGAAAUCCCGGGGCUCAACCCCGGAACUGCCUUCGAUACUGGCGAUCUUGAGUCCGGAAGAGGUGAGUGGAACUCCUAGUGUAGAGGUGGAAUUCGUAGAUAUUAGGAAGAACACCAGUGGCGAAGGCGGCUCACUGGUCCGGUACUGACGCUGAGGUGCGAAAGCGUGGGGAGCAAACGGG